rnacentral:rRNA from 1 species
UACGGGGGGGGCAAGCGUUGUUCGGAAUUACUGGGCGUAAAGGGCGCGUAGGCGGCCUUCUAAGUCGGACGUGAAAUCCCUCGGCUUAACCGAGGAACUGCGUCCGAUACUGAAAGGCUUGAAUCCGGGAGAGGGAUGUGGAAUUCCAGGUGUAGCGGUGAAAUUCGUAGAUAUCGAAAGGAACACCGGCGGCGAAGGCGGCCAACUGGACGAUUACUGACGCUGAGACACGAAAGCGUGGGGAGCAAACAGG